AACGAACGCUGGCGGCAUGCCUAACACAUGCAAGUCGAACGAGACCUUCGGGUCUAGUGGCGCACGGGUGCGUAACGCGUGGGAACCUGCCCUUAGGUUCGGAAUAACUCAGAGAAAUUUGAGCUAAUACCGGAUAAUGUCUUCGGACCAAAGAUUUAUCGCCUUUGGAUGUGCCCGCGUAGGAUUAGCUUGUUGGUGGGGUAAUGGCCUACCAAGGCGACGAUCCUUAGCUGGUCUGAGAGGAUGAUCAGCCACACUGGGACUGAGACACGGCCCAGACUCCUACGGGAGGCAGCAGUGGGGAAUAUUGGACAAUGGGCGAAAGCCUGAUCCAGCCAUGCCGCGUGAGUGAUGAAGGCCUUAGGGUUGUAAAGCUCUUUUACCAGGGAUGAUAAUGACAGUACCUGGAGAAUAAGCUCCGGCUAACUCCGUG
rnacentral:rRNA from 1 species